rnacentral:lncRNA from 1 species
CUGGCUUGAUAUGUACUAAAUGGCAGAUGAUGUGCUACUGACUUAAUUUUCUCCUGUUGGAUAUCUGUCUGUAUACCAGCUAUUUAAAACAUCUGCAUGCAAGAUCAUGAUGUAAUCUGUUUCUGCCCUGCAUGCCUUCUUGCUGAUGUGAACAGAGUCAUUACCUUUUUCUUGAGUGGGCUGUCAUCCAUGUGAUUGAUGGAGGUAACUGGAACACCCAGUCAAAGGCAUCAGCUAUUUGGGUGCAUUUUACACAGAAUACUCACUUCAUAGCUUCAAAGGGAAAAAAACCCCAAACAAACAAAGCCCCAAAACUACACCAAAAACAUGAAGAUGAACAUUUUCUUCAGGACUGACAGAGCAUUCAUCUUGUGUUUCCUAUGGAAGAGGCUUUUGCAAGUGGGAACUGUUACCUUAUUUUUGAGCUCUUUGGUUAUUUUCAAUCAAAUUUGAUAGAGGAGUAGCAGUAUUGAAAGUUGUAUCCAGCAAGGAAAGGUAGAAGGAAUAUUCAGCAAGGAAAAGACUUCUGUGCAAGUUCAUCCCUUCUCAGACAAAUGGCACUUCAUUUAAUCCAUCAUCCAUGGAAAUUCAAUUUACUGAAUGAACUGUACUGAAUGUAGAAACACAGAGGAUUCAAAUAUGUGUUUGCUUUCUUUUUGUUGGGACAUCAUUUGAGCCAUAUAAAUAUUUUUCAUAAUUUACUAGUGGACAGUGACUAGUACAAAAUGUUUCAAACUUACUGCCAGUUCAAAUCCAGAAAAAAACAUUCUUCUGAAGUACAAUGAAUUGGUGGAGGAUGUAAGUGUGUGCAUUCAAUAUGUUAUAUAGUUUUUUGCUUUGCUUUUUCAUAGUAAUGGCUUGCCUAUUUCAGUCCUGGUAAGCUCUUGAUUGCUGUGACACAUUCUGUUAAUCAUUAUUUUAGAAUAGUAUGUUGACUUGCAGAACUAUGCUGUCAGAAGAUCUGUGACCGAAACUGAAUGCAUCUCAUCAGCUUGCAAUAAAAUGAGAAAGAACAAUGGGUUGUAAAUGAGA